UGGGGAAUAUUGCACAAUGGACGAAAGUCUGAUGCAGCAACGCCGCGUGGAGGAUGACACAUUUCGGUGCGUAAACUCCUUUUAUAUGAGAAGAUAAUGACGGUAUUAUAUGAAUAAGCACCGGCUAACUCCGUGCCAGCAGCCGCGGUAAUACGGGGGGUGCAAGCGUUACUCGGAAUCACUGGGCGUAAAGAGCAUGUAGGCGGAUUGAUAAGUUUGAAGUGAAAUCCUAUAGCUUAACUAUAGAACUGCUUUGAAAACUGUUAAUCUAGAAUGUGGGAGAGGUAGAUGGAAUUUCUGGUGUAGGGGUAAAAUCCGUAGAGAUCAGAAGGAAUACCGAUUGCGAAGGCGAUCUACUGGAACAUUAUUGACGCUGAGAUGCGAAAGCGUGGGGAGCAAAC
rnacentral:rRNA from 1 species